rnacentral:rRNA from 1 species
AGUUUACAACUCCCAAACCCCUGUGAACAUACCUAUCGUUGCCUCGGCGGUGCCCGCUCCGGCGGCCCGCCAGAGGACCCCAAACCCUUAUUUCUGAAUACAGUAUCUUCUGAGUAACACGAUUAAAUAAAUCAAAACUUUCAACAACGGAUCUCUUGGCUCUGGCAUCGAUGAAGAACGCAGCGAAAUGCGAUAAGUAAUGUGAAUUGCAGAAUUCAGUGAACCAUCGAAUCUUUGAACGCACAUUGCGCCCGCCAGUAUUCUGGCGGGCAUGCCUGUUCGAGCGUCAUUUCAACCCUCAAGCCCCCGGGCUUGGUGUUGGGGAUCGGCGUGCCCCCCCGGGGCGCGCCGCCCCCUAAAUCCAGUGGCGGUCUCGCUGCAGCUUCCUCCGCGUAGUAGCACACCUCGCGCUGGAAAGCGGCGCGGCCACGCCGUUAAACCCCCCACUUCUGAAAGGUUGACCUCGGAUCAGGUAGGAAUACCCGCUGAACUUAAGCAUA